rnacentral:tRNA from 1 species
GAAUAAAAAACGAAUUAUUGUAGUCGGUUUCGACCCGAUCCCUGGUCCCUAGACCUUUAUUCU